rnacentral:lncRNA from 10 species
GAGGAGCAAUAAACUGACCAACUGACCUGAAUCCUUUCUUUUUUCAGGUACUACUGAGGGCGUCUCUGGCAGAACUCUGGAGGCUAAAAGUGCCUCCACAGAGGCCACAACUUUCCCAGGGGGAAGUGGAACCACCCGAGCAGGACCAACCGGAGUUACCACUGGAGAAUUGCCUGGAAUGACCUUUAUAUCUGGAAGUCCUAACACAGGUAACUUAACAAGAAAUGCCUCUUAUUUUAAUGUCAGAUGUCAUGAUUUUUUAAAGCCUUCCCU